UUUGAACCCGAGGCAAGCCCUAAAUCACUCAAACAGCCUCCUCCCCAACUCUUCACUCUCAAGAGCAGCCAAUCCCAAUCCCUUACUCGAAAAGUUGAUAAAAUAAUGAAGAGCCCAUAAGUUUUUUCAAGAAUUUGGUUCUGAAGGAGGCUAUUUGCAGAAUUGGAGCAAGAAAUAAGUUCUAUUUGAAGGGAGUUGGAGAGUUUGUAGACUUGUAGUUCGAUUUGAAUUUUGAAGAAAAGGAGUUUAAGGUAUGAUCUUGCUUUUCUCUCAACUUUCCUUGCUUUCUUUGGAUGGUUUUGUGUUUCUUUGUUAUGUGCAAUUGGAAUUGGAAUUUGGAUACCUUGUAAUUGUUUGCCGCUGUUGCCCAUCUCUAUUUAAUUGGGUAAAUGUUAGCAAGUUACAGAGGACGAGUGUGGUUUUAUAGUUUUUGUGGAAUUGUGUUUAUGGUAAUCAUCGAGGGAAAGCAGAACGAAGGAGUGGUGUUUCACCUAUAUGCAUCUUCAAAAAUUGAUUGGUUAUAAUUUUAGAAUAAUAUCACUGUCAAUCCGAUAGGAAAAAGGCCUUGCUUAAACAACUGUCAAUUUACCAGGAAUUGGGAAGCCAUAUAACACAGUUGUAGAUUGUUCAGCUGUAAUUUGUUCUUCCUUUGUCUUGUAUAUCGUUCUGUAAAUGGAAGGGUGUCCGUCUUUUCUAUAAUCCGUAAGCCUACUAAUGUUAAGAUAUGUCACUGGAGUUUUCAUUUCUUUAAGUACACUCUCUAGAGCUCUCAUUUUUGAAGGGUAAUGCGUUGGAUAAGUCUCAUUAAAGAUUGGUUCUGUUUCUUUGUGUCACUGUCCACCUGAGUUCCAUUGCCCUCCACUGAAAUGGGUGACUGAAUAUCCUCUGAAGAAAACCCGAGUCCUGUUGGCAUUGAUGUAUCUGUCCAUUUCACAUGCACUUUUAUCAUAGAUUGUCGGACAAUCUAUGAUAAAAGUGCAUGUGAAAUGGACAUGGAAGCAGCCAAGACAAAGAGAAGUACUGGCAGUCUUGAUGGUCAGAGGAGGGAUUAUGUCAUGCCUGGGGAGACAAGAAUCAGAAUCAUUGAGUUCAAAUCAGAGCAUCUUUGCUUUAAGAGAACUAUGGAGAAGCACAGACUGUAACAGCUGAGCAUUCCAAUAAUAAUAGCCAGGGCUAAGGGCCUCAUAAGCAAGCGGACUAUAUAGCUUCGGGAUCCAAGCAACAGAUCAUGGCUUAUUAAAGUGACUCGCAUGGAAGAUGGUCGUUUACUUAUGAACAAAGGCUGGCGUGCUUGUAGCAAGUGGAACCAGAUUAAGAAAGGGCACACAAUUGUUUUUGAGUUUGUGAAGGGACAUGUGAAGCUUCACAUCAUUAGAGCUGAGGGGUGUGAUGUGAUACUCACAGGUUCUAAUGUAGUAGAUUGAAGUUAGUUCCCAGUGCAGGUGCAAAACUCUUUUCAAAUGCUAUGAUUAAUGGGAAUGUGAUCAGAGCAUUAACUUGUCUAUUUUCAGUAAGGUUAUUUUUCAUUUCCGAGACGCUUCUGAAUCUCUUAUGUAUUAGUGAUUGUUGUUUGGUAUGUUCUGUAAUGGGAUUUGAAUGCAAUUUGGAAAGAGAUAAUUGACUAGUUGCUAUUUGAA